CGACGCCGACGCCGACGCCGACGCCAACGCCAACGCCAAUGUCGACGUCGACGUCGCCGUCUCCGGGAAUGCUUAUGGCGCAUGUGCGGCAAAUGAUCGCAGGAUUAUUACAGAUUAACGUCACAGGAUCUGAGAGGAGGAGGAGGAAAAGGCUUUGGAAAAGCAUCGGUCCUUAGCGAAGAAACCUUGAGAUAAACCACAUGUCAAACUUGAACCUCGCAUGCGAAAUGACCGGGAUGCAAAAGGACUUCGGGGGUACACGAGACGUGAGUUUUACUUUUAUUAUAUCGAGAUUAUUACUUUAUAUCCCUAUUUCUGCACAAUUUUGCAUUUCAUUAAUCAGGGGAUGACAGUUUCGAAAAAAUUAAAGUCGAGAUUGAUAAAAAGUGUAGUUAGUAUACCGACGUUAUCGCGUUUUCUCAAGUAAAGUGCCGAAUUUUGUGCUAAAGCACAUCUAAUCUUUAUCGUGAUUUGAGAUGGCCAUUCUUUUCGCACGCUCGAGAAAAAUACCUCGAGAAUACGGCGUUAAUUCUCGUUAAUUCGCGGAAAAAAAAAUCGACACUCACGUAGGCGAUUUACGAUUUACGAUUUACGAUUUUUGGGGACGCGGCUGAGACAGAGUGGAUGCCGCGCGCCGAAUCUUUUAACGAUGAUGUGCGGCCGAUUGUAAAUGACAGCGAUAAAGCUUGCGUAGUAAUAAAUGGCUUAAAGUGGUUUAAAGCCGCGUCGCGUUUACGCACCCUCUGCGCUCAUUUCACUCAGCUUGAGACUUGGGCGAGGAAAACAGAGAUAAAGCGAGAACUUGAUUUAAUUCCAAGUAUUCGAAUUUAAACUUUGUAUCUUUUUACACACAAAUUAACAAGCAAAACUUAAGUUUAAAGAUCAGAAUAUCUUGAUUUACUUUGCCUCUGUGCGAGACAGUCGUUGACCAUCGGAUGAAGAAAGAAACUGUACAGAUAUAUGUUUACUCGCCGUUCAACGAAAUCGAAGCGGGAGAUAAAACUUGAAAAAUUUAUCCUGAAAUAUCUCUAAUUCGGAACUACGAGCUACGCUCGUUCGUGCGAAAAUGGGGAUGAUGCGUCAUCCCCAUAAAAAUCCUCUUGCGCGCAAUUCGAGCCGAUCGUGAUCGCGCAGGGUCGCGUCGCGGAACCAACCAGCCUGCACGCGGCCGCGGCUGCACGUUCGAACCCGACGCAAUGUUCAAAGCUCUCUGUACAGCGGAAAGUGUCGAGAGAGAUUUUCCCGCGUCGUUGCGGAUGGCUUUCGCGGCACGCAAUCACCGAUUUUUUAGCGUCACGUUUUAAUGCACGUGUCUGCGGAUGAAUGAACGAAACAUGGACUUUGUUAAUCCAAUCGAGAGAUACAAACGAUUCAUCCGAUAUACAAUUUUUUUAUUCAUUUUUCUAAAACUCAAUUGUUACAACAAAAAAUUGAUAAAGAAAGUAACAAACUGUAACGAAUGCUAAACGGCUAUUACAAAUUUAAUAGAUAUAUAAUUUGUAUUAAUAAAUGCUUAAAAAAAAAACAACAAAAAACAACAAUUGCUCUAAUUUUAGGACCAAAUAUUAUAGAAAAUAAUAUAUAUCUAAAUGAAUUAGAAAAUAUAUUAUUUCAUUGUAUAUAUAAUCUUUGUAAUAUACUUGAUUUCCACACAUCAAAGGUAACAUUACGAGUAUUAUCAUUAAGAUGUUACAUUUUUUUAAUUUUACAAAGAAAGUAUAAAAACAGGUUGCAUGACAAAGCAUAAUUAUCUAUUUAAUGAUGCUGAGAUUUCAAAAUUAUUGUGACUAAAAUAUUAAAAGGUGCAAAUUGCAAGAUUAUUAUAUGUACCCUCUUUUAACAUUAGGAGGAUUAAAUCUCCGACAAUCUCCCCUUAAGCAAACAUAAAUGAAGAUGUUACUCUUUUAUAAUGCUGCAAACUCCAUUUUACUUGAAAGCUUCACGUUAAAGAAGCAGAAGAAAUUUAAACGAGAGAUUUGUAAAGAAACACACAACGUGUCUGUUAAAUAAAGACACGCGCUUACUUCUUAAAUAUUCUAUUCUCGAAUUCUGUCAACUUUCUUUAUCCUAAAAUUCUAAAAUGAAGGAAACCGUUACUUGAAACUAACAAAUUCUUUCGACAGAUUAAAAUGCAUUAAAAAUUAUUUUACAAAUUAUUUUACAAAUGACAUACUUAUACACAUGGAAACCAAAUGUAUUAUUUGUACGCUGCAAAUAUCGUAUAAAUAAAAAUCAGAAAUGUUUCACUAAAUUUGUAUUAGGAGAUGACAAACAUUUUUCGUUAUUUCUUAAUUAAAAACAUGAGAAAACAAAGUAUUUCGUACAAUUUUGGAUCUACCCUGUGUGUAAUAUAAUAUGCGCAAGUUUCAUAGUAGGAAAUGAAAGCGGAAAUAAUGGGCCAUGCACGCGAAAAUUAAUGCCGUGUUAUACGAGUCGACGAAUGCUAGUGCAUAAAACCACUGCACAUGUAUAAAGUGUUCCAGAAAUUUUCAUUUUAAUAAGAAAUAUUUUUUAACUCGGCUAAAAUUUUUUCUCAAGUUAAGCUUCGAGAUGGCAAUAAUCUCGGAGUCAUUAAGAGAUCGAAAAUAAAAUGAUUAUAGACUUUUAUAAUGUAAUGUUACGUAUAACGAUCUUAAAAGCUUUUUAACCUUAUUUCAGUUUAAACGAUUAUUAUGUUUUCAGAAUUUUUAUUUUCAAGUUUAAUUUUGUUUUUAUUCAAGAUAUAUUAAACAAAUUUAGUAAUAUAUUAGCUGAGGUUGGGAUUUUUUAGGACACCGUGUAUAAAAGCCAUAAAACGUUAAAAGCUUAUCCCGACUAUAUCAACUACUCUUUUGAUAAUAAUAAAAGUUGUAAUAAAAGCGAUCAAAUGCGAUAGUAUAAAUAGCAAAAAUAAUUCGAGACCUUUAUUUUUGGUAUACGCUGGAAUAUUAAAUUUUAAAUACUGCACAGACAAUUGUUUCUUCUACGGAUAACUUUUAACGGUAUUUACGCGGGGGCGCGAUUUAUUUCAACGAAAUUGUCGUUUGAUUGGUCGAAGUAGCAUGAAACGUUAACAAUUAUAUCGCGUCAAUUUUUUUAAUUCGAAUUAAAAUUUCUGCGCAAAAAUAUCAGUUAUCGAAUGCGAAUCUUAUGUAACGGGAGAUGAUAGACGAUUCGACCAACUUUGGACAAUUCUGCAUUAUUUGUUUGCCUACGGAGGAUUUUACAAAAAGUACUCGAGUAUUCUUCCAUCAAAAAUACCGAUGCGUUUCUAUUUUUAUUGCGAUUUUCUCUGACAUCUCUCGUUCGAAAGAUCUUUCGUUCGAAAGAUUUCGAAAAGCAUACAAUUUUAUCUCUACAUGCGCCCGCGCGCGAGACACGUGGAAAACGUGGAAUUUCGACGAUGGAAAUCUCUAUGUCUAUUUAUAUUUCAUUGCCUUGUUAAGUUUGAUUACAGUUUAGAGAUGAAACUGCAAUGAGUUAUAGCAAAAUAUAGUCGGUUGGCAGAAGUUGCACAAUUAUAGUCUCGAGGUAUUUUUAAAUUAAAUCCAAAUGCUACUAUGCUCUUUAACAAAGUAAGAUAAAGACAAAGGCUCUUGUAAAACAGUUGUAAGGCAUUAAUCGAAUUUAGUUUCUUAAGCGAUAUCACGUUUGUAACGUAAUACGAACAAUUGAUUGAAUUUUACUAAUAGAGAGAGAGAGAGAGAGAGAGAGAGAACAAUAAAGAUACGAAUUAUUAUCCUCCAGAGAAAGAAAUGGCAUUUACGAGCCAUUUUUGAAUGCAAGCGAGAGAAUGACACGAGAGAAUGGCAGAAAUCGGCCGAUGUGCGCAACACGCACUUUCAUCGUCAAUUUUUGGCAAGAUUUGGCAGCAUGUCAUCCAUUUGGAUACAUGACACGUGUAAAAUAUGACCGAAAUUGAUGAGCGGCAUGUGUACAUACAUACAAAAAGUAAAAACAAUCGAAUGCUGUGUUACGCGUGCAUGUGUAUAAAAAAGUGAGGAAGCUCUCGAUCGCUCUCUGUCACUCGAUACAAAAUGACGAUGCGAAUGGAACGAGUAGCAAGUUUAUCGACGAGUCGUAUUACGUAUCGUCGUUGACAUUUGACUUUCCGGCCUUCCGGAACGCGCGACUUUUACACGUACACAACGUUGUUUUUUUUUUCCCCAACGUCCAACUGCAUGUCCAACUCGAAAUAUGCCUUAUACAUAUACGCGCGUACGAUUUCCUUUAACAGUUUGUUAAAAAAGUCCAGUCGCGCAUUUCCGCAGGCUUUGCAUACGCCGCGCGGCGCCGCGGCGCAGCGGUGCGUUGUUCGAAUCGUACACUGCGUAUGUACGCAUCGAGUUUAAAGCCGAUAGUGUGCUUGUGUAUGUGUCGAGUGAAAAGUGAAAUACGCCGCCUCUCCGCGCCGUUUGUCCACGACAACGUUAUAUAAACCACUGACGGCCAUCGGUCGUUAUUAUUGCCAAACCUAAAUCCAUCACUAAAUGAAUAACGAUACCUACGUCGGCGGUACGAUCUCAAAAUCAAUUAAGAAUCGCCGCGCCGCGCCGCGCCGAUAUUUAUAGAAAUGUCACCAGACUUUACCGAUAAUGAAAUUCAAGUUUUGCCAUCGUACCAUCGCCAUCGCCAUCGAUAUGUAUGCGUGCGAUCCUCUCCCGAGAAUUGAUGAGCGUUUCGCCUAUUCAUUAUAAUUAUUGAUUUCUUCGCGCCCAAUUAUGUAAUUUUGGAACAAUUUAACAAAAUGGAUGGGAAAAGCUUACACACGAAAACUUUUUUCAACUUUUCAUAGUUGUUGAAUUUUUAUUGAGAAUUCAAUCAUCGAGAUAUUAAUGUUGAAUGUUAAAAUGAAUUUUUAAGUCAACAGAAAUUAAAUUAAAAAUUGCUAAAAUAUCAAGUCUGCAAUGUUACGUCUGUAAUUUUACCGAAUUUUAAUUUGGAAAGAUUAAUUUGUAAAAAAUAAAAAAAGGAGAAUAUAUUUUCACGCUAAAUGUACGUCGACGAUCGACGCAUUUAGUUUUAGCGGUGUACGUAAUACCGAAGCGCUGAUAACCACGUUGCGAAGCAUAGCGUGCGCCCGCGCGCCACCAGCGAUGUUUAUCAUUUUCACUAACUGACAAUUUUGGCAACCGAGAUCGCCCGAUUUUAUCCUCUUUCGCUUCUAUGGUUAUUUACUGCAACACGCCACGACAUGAAUUAACAUGAUAUAUGCACUCGUCAUAUCGCUCCUUUCCAUUCAUGGCGGUUUAAAGAACAGAUUGAAUAAUAACGUAAUAAUGUUAAAAAUUUAAAUAAAAUAACGAAGGAGAGAGCCAUCGUUAUAAUUAAUACAAAAAGCAGGGAGAGAGAGAGAGAGAGAGAG